rnacentral:rRNA from 1 species
AUUGAACGCUGGCGGCAUGCUUUACACAUGCAAGUCGAACGGUAACAGGCCGCAAGGUGCUGACGAGUGGCGAACGGGUGAGUGAUGCAUCGGAACGUGCCCAGUCGUGGGGGAUAACUGCUCGAAAGAGCAGCUAAUACCGCAUACGAUCUAUGGAUGAAAGCGGGGGACCGUAAGGCCUCGCGCGAUUGGAGCGGCCGAUGUCAGAUUAGGUAGUUGGUGGGGUAAAGGCUCACCAAGCCAACGAUCUGUAGCUGGUCUGAGAGGACGACCAGCCACACUGGGACUGAGACACGGCCCAGACUCCUACGGGAGGCAGCAGUGGGGAAUUUUGGACAAUGGGGGCAACCCUGAUCCAGCAAUGCCGCGUGCAGGAAGAAGGCCUUCGGGUUGUAAACUGCUUUUGUACGGAACGAAAAGGUUUGGGUUAAUACCCUGGGCCGAUGACGGUACCGUAAGAAUAAGCACCGGCUAACUACGUGCCAGCAGCCGCGGUAAAAC